UUUAUUGGAGAGUUUGAUCCUGGCUCAGGAUGAACGCUGGCGGCGUGCCUAAUACAUGCAAGUCGAGCGAAUGGAUUAAGAGCUUGC
rnacentral:rRNA from 2 species